rnacentral:rRNA from 1 species
GUCGAACGGUGAAGAGAAGCUUGCUUCUUGGAUCAGUGGCGAACGGGUGAGUAACACGUGAGCAAUCUGCCCUUGACUCUGGGAUAAGCGUUGGAAACGACGUCUAAUACCGGAUACGACCCUCGGAGGCAUCUCCUGGGGGUGGAAAGAAUUUUGGUCAAGGAUGAGCUCGCGGCCUAUCAGCUAGUUGGUGAGGUAAUGGCUCACCAAGGCGACGACGGGUAGCCGGCCUGAGAGGGUGACCGGCCACACUGGGACUGAGACACGGCCCAGACUCCUACGGGAGGCAGCAGUGGGGAAUAUUGCACAAUGGGCGAAAGCCUGAUGCAGCAACGCCGCGUGAGGGACGAAGGCCUUCGGGUUGUAAACCUCUUUUAGUAGGGAAGAAGCGAAAGUGACGGUACCUGCAGAAAAAGCACCGGCUAACUACGUGCCAGCAGCCGCGGUAAUACGUAGGGUGCAAGCGUUGUCCGGAAUUAUUGGGCGUAAAGAGCUCGUAGGCGGUUUGUCGCGUCUGCUGUGAAAACCCGAGGCUCAACCUCGGGCCUGCAGUGGGUACGGGCAGACUAGAGUGCGGUAGGGGAGAUUGGAAUUCCUGGUGUAGCGGUGGAAUGCGCAGAUAUCAGGAGGAACACCAAUGGCGAAGGCAGAUCUCUGGGCCGUAACUGACGCUGAGGAGCGAAAGCAUGGGGAGCGAACAGGAUUAGAUACCCUGGUAGUCCAUGCCGUAAACGUUGGGAACUAGAUGUGGGGACCAUUCCACGGUCUCCGUGUCGCAGCUAACGCAUUAAGUUCCCCGCCUGGGGAGUACGGCCGCAAGGCUAAAACUCAAAGGAAUUGACGGGGGCCCGCACAAGCGGCGGAGCAUGCGGAUUAAUUCGAUGCAACGCGAAGAACCUUACCAAGGCUUGACAUAUAGAGGAAACGGCUGGAAACAGUCGCCCCGCAAGGUCUCUAUACAGGUGGUGCAUGGUUGUCGUCAGCUCGUGUCGUGAGAUGUUGGGUUAAGUCCCGCAACGAGCGCAACCCUCGUCCUAUGUUGCCAGCACGUAAUGGUGGGAACUCAUGGGAUACUGCCGGGGUCAACUCGGAGGAAGGUGGGGAUGACGUCAAAUCAUCAUGCCCCUUAUGUCUUGGGCUUCACGCAUGCUACAAUGGCCGGUACAAAGGGCUGCAAUACCGUAAGGUGGAGCGAAUCCCAAAAAGCCGGUCUCAGUUCGGAUUGAGGUCUGCAACUCGACCUCAUGAAGUCGGAGUCGCUAGUAAUCGCAGAUCAGCAACGCUGCGGUGAAUACGUUCCCGGGCCUUGUACACACCGCCCGUCAAGUCAUGAAAGUCGGUAACACCCGAAGCCAGUGGCCUAACCGCAAGGAAGGAGCU